rnacentral:tRNA from 1 species
ACUUAGAUAACUUAUAGCAUAGAGUGUGAUAUUGAAGAUAUCAGAGAGAUUGUAAAAUCUUUAAGUG